rnacentral:rRNA from 1 species
AGUGAACGCUGGCGGUAGGCCUAACACAUGCAAGUCGAACGGCAGCACAGUAAGAGCUUGCUCUUACGGGUGGCGAGUGGCGGACGGGUGAGGAAUACAUCGGAAUCUACUUUUUCGUGGGGGAUAACGUAGGGAAACUUACGCUAAUACCGCAUACGACCUACGGGUGAAAGUAGGGGAUCUUCGGACCUUGCGCGAUUGGAUGAGCCGAUGUCGGAUUAGCUAGUUGGCGGGGUAAAGGCCCACCAAGGCGACGAUCCGUAGCUGGUCUGAGAGGAUGAUCAGCCGCACUGGAACUGAGACACGGUCCAGACGCCUACGGGAGGCAGCAGUGGGGAAUAUUGGACAAUGGGCGCAAGCCUGAUCCAGCCAUACCGCGUGGGUGAAGAAGGCCUUCGGGUUGUAAAGCCCUUUUGUUGGGAAAGAAAAGCAGCAGGUUAAUACCCCGCUGUUCUGACGGUACCCAAAGAAUAAGCACCGGCUAACUUCGUG